rnacentral:lncRNA from 1 species
GGUUGCCUUUCAGAAAGUGCUAAGUUUAACGUCUUCAGCCAGACCAAAUUAUUGACAGGCUCUUCCAUACAGAACAGUCCUUUAUUCCUAAAAAAAAUGAAGAUCAAUUAAAAUAAAGUAAAAAAAAUUUGGGUUGCCUUCCAAAAAGUGCUAAGUUUAACGUCUUCAGCCAAACGCUAAAAGCCUAACCUUGGCAUUGUAGGCU